rnacentral:tRNA from 1 species
GGCUUUGUAGUGUAGCGGUUAUCACUUGAGAUUCUGAUUUGGUCACGUGAUGACUGAUGUUCUCAUAACCCAGGUUCGAGUCCUGGCAAGGCCU